rnacentral:lncRNA from 1 species
AUAUAUUUUAUCAACAAAGCUUUUGUGUACAAGUAAAUUAUAAGUAGAAUGGACUCAAAAAACAGAUUGUGCACUAAUUCGCCGCCACUUCCUCGUGUUCGGCAACCCCCUCCGGAGCCCAGAGCACGGCAGACGCCGCCGCAGCCUCGUCGUGCGUCUGCUCAAUGUCCACCGCAGCCAAGAGAGCGGCAACCACCACCACAGCCAAGAGAGAGGCAAAUACCUCCCCAACCCAGACAUUCAUAGUAUAACUAAGUUGAUGUAAAGGUGGCAUAAACUCUGACAAUAUGUUAAAUACUUGAAAAUUUUAUUAUUUUAAGAUUUAAAGUUUACCUGUAAAUCUAAAAAGGACAGUAGACACUUCUAUGGAUAGUUGAUGUGAUGUUGAUUGCAUCAAUAUGUGUCAUUAAAUCCCAACUAUGACCUUCUCCAAUCAGGGCUUUGCCCAUUAUUAUGGGCAUGGUUUUGUUAUUUAACUGAUUCCCUGUUCUUAAAAUAAAACAAUUGAUUUGUUUAUAUGUAAUUUAUCAGACAGGGAACCUAUUAUACUAAAAUUUUGAAGACAGACGGACUUUAAGUUUACUAAAAUGUAAAAUUAUACUAUCUUUUUAAAUGUUUGAAAUAAAUUACUGUUUUAUUUGUCAAAUAAAAAAGUGUGAAAAAGUUACCAAAAAUUUUGAAGCCAGUGCUUGAUCUAAUGUCCGCCUAUUUGACAAUUUUAUAACUUGUUAUGCUGCUGUUAUAGUAAUAUAUAUGUAAGUAUAAAAUUAAA